rnacentral:lncRNA from 1 species
AGAGAGAGAGGUGUUGCUGCUGUUGAUGGUAAAAAGCAGCAGCAGCAAUAGUAGUAAUAGUAUCUCUAGCAGCAGCAGGAGCAGCGGUAGCAGCAGCGGCGGCGUGUUUCGAGGCGGCGGCGGCGAAGAAGGCAUCCAGCAGCGAGGGAGGCGAGUCAAAGCCGAAACCAUGAAGUCAAGGAGUACAAAAACCACAAAAACUGGAUUUUUAUAACAAACAAACCCGAAAUUAAUCGAGAAAUCCCAGAAGAAAGGGAAAUUAGUCGCUGCCACCAACAUAUUUUAUAGAAUCGUUAUUACUAUUAUCAUCUUCACCAUUAAUAUCGAUUAUUCAUAGCAAAUAAGAAAUUAUUAUUAUUUCCUCCUCUGGCUUUCUUUUAAAUCGUUUUUUUUACCGCCUCCGCACUUUUAUUUGGGCAGAAAAAAACCGAAGAAAAAGAGUAGCGAGACUCCGUCGUCGUGUGUGUGUCCGUGUGUGUGUGUAUAUAGCGGUGUUAUGAUUGUAUAAUAUAUAUAUAUAUAUAUAUAUAUGUAUAUGUAUGUAUAUGGUGUGUGUUUGUGGAAAAAGUGAAGAAAUCACAGCUCGAUCGGUGUUUGUGUGUGAAUGGUGUUAAAUAAUAAUUAGAAUAAUUUUGAUGUGAGAAGGAUCGAGUGGACAUUUUUAAAUGCCGUGAAUUUGGUGAAGGAUUUUCGGGAGGAGAGAGAUCGGGGAUAAUGUAAGAAUUAGAACAAUUAGAAGAAUAAUAAUCUACGUAAGUAGUGAUAACAGACAAUCUAUAAAUAUAUGAUAUGUAAGAGAGAGAGAGAGAGAAGGAAGAAGAAGACACCCGGGCUGGAUUAAUGAUGUAGUAAUUAAUUAAUUAACAAUAAUAAUAAUAAUAGUAAUAAUCAUCCUUAUAUAAUAUGUGGUGAGCGAAUUGAGGGGGGGAGCAAAGGAAAAGGAACCCCCUCUGAAAAGAAAAGUUCCCCUUUACCAAUUGCAUUAGAAAUAAGAAUCGUAAGCGAAAAGAAAAUCUAAGAAAUUGAAUGAAAAUCUAAAAGUAAAAAAUGGAAGAACGUCAAGAAAUGGUUAAGGAAGCGAGUCUGGAGAAAACGGAUGAAGAAGG